rnacentral:other from 1 species
ACCAACCUGCCGUGCGCGUGAUGGCGCAAUGCGUUUUGAGCCAACACCCAAACGAAGGGCAUCAAAGUCUGCUGUUGAUGGUGAUAGGCUUGCGGAGCUAAGACCGGAUAUAUCAGUUAGAUGACCCACCUGCGAAAGCAGGUUCAAAAACAUCGCGUUCACACGGCAUGGCAGGCUGCCC